rnacentral:ncRNA from 2 species
AUCUAUUCUCAGGGCGGGGCGAAAUUCCCCACCGGCGGUAAAUCAUCAUGAUAAGCCGCGAGCGCCUGGUACUCUGUAUCAGGGUCAGCAGAUCUGGUUUGAAUCCAGAGCCGACGGUUAUAGUCCGGAUGGGAGAGGAUAAGA